rnacentral:rRNA from 1 species
CGAAGGUCCCAAGCGUUAUCCGGAUUUAUUGGGUUUAAAGGGUGCGUAGGCGGUCUAUUAAGUCAGUGGUGAAAGCCCCAAGCUCAACUUGGGAACUGCCAUUGAUACUGAUGGACUUGAGUACAUUUGAGGUGGGCGGAAUGUGUCAUGUAGCGGUGAAAUGCUUAGAUAUGACACAGAACACCGAUUGCGAAGGCAGCUCACUAAACUGUAACUGACGCUGAGGCACGAAAGCGUGGGGAGCAAACAGGAUUAGAUACCCUGGUAGUCCACGCCCUAAACGAUGAUCACUCGAUGUGUGCGAUAUACUGUACGCGUCUGAGCGAAAGCAUUAAGUGAUCCACCUGGGGAGUACGACCGCAAGGUUG